GGGUGCUGACAGAAGAUAAUGCAAGAAAAAACAACUUCAUGUUCUGCUCAGUAGAUUCAGUUCAGCUGGUACUGGAAGUGUGAGGUUUGUUUCUGUUUCUUCUCCCUGCAUGUCAAGAAGGCCUGCUUUGCAAACAGGUGGGACUAGAGAGAAUGUAAGCUCCAUGGAAGAGUCAGGUCCAGCACUACUUGAUGCAGCUGCCAGAGGCAGGAAACAAAGUUACUUCAAGACCACUAUGAGACUCAGCUGAUUCUGCUUCAUAUACAAGGAUGGACAUGUACUCAAGACUCACGCUUUCCCUGAGAGCUUUCUGCUGGCCCUCUCCCAAAACAUGAUCAGGCUUUUCAGCAGACAAGAGCAAUAAGCACCCUGCUGCUUCUGUGUUACCACUUCUCACAAGACACAGAAUAUCAGUAAGGACACUCUGCCUCAUAAGUGUCAUAGUGGGAAAGGAACAUGGCUGCUUCAUGUGAAGUACACCGAGUUAGAAGUGGUUCACCCCAGUGGCUGGUGGCAAUCCCAGCAACAUGUUUCUGGUACAAGGAAUGAUUCAUCUCCCUUCUUCCUUGUGACUUUCCACCUCAGGUGAACCAAGCAGAAAUGGAACCGCCACUUUUUAAAUAGAAGAUGGAGAUCUA